rnacentral:lncRNA from 1 species
AUGGACCAUCCUCCUAGCUUUUAUGCUUGAUCAUUCCUUUUUUUCUUUUUGUGUGGCAUGACUUUAGGAGAAUGAUUUACAUAUCACUUCUCUAGCAUGUAUUAACACUAACAUUAUUAUUGGCCGGUCUCAGAUAGUUGUGACUUCUAUAUAAGUCCAAUUACGAUUGCUUAACAUAGCACUAAAUUUGUCCCGAAAGAAAAGGCAUUUUUAUAAGUGAUAUUGUAAGUCUCCUAC